AAGUCGUAACAAGGUCUCCGUUGGUGAACCAGCGGAGGGAUCAUUACAGAGCCUGAAAAAGCUCCCAAACCCACUGCAAAUGUUACCAGAUCGCUCGUUGCUUUGGCAGGCGGACCCCCCGGGCGGGGGUCGCACCCCCCUCGGCGGGGGCGCCUGCCAGAGGACACCCCUGAGAACUCUUGCUGUAACCGGCCUCUCUGAGUCUGAAUCAAAAAUCAGUAAAAACUUUCAACAACGGAUCUCUUGGUUCUG
rnacentral:misc_RNA from 1 species